rnacentral:rRNA from 1 species
UGGUGGGUAGUUUGACUGGGGCGGUCUCCUCCUAAAGAGUAACGGAGGAGCACGAAGGUUGGCUAAUCCUGGUCGGACAUCAGGAGGUUAGUGCAAUGGCAUAAGCCAGCUUGACUGCGAGCGUGACGGCGCGAGCAGGUGCGAAAGCAGGUCAUAGUGAUCCGGUGGUUCUGAAUGGAAGGGCCAUCGCUCAACGGAUAAAAGGUACUCCGGGGAUAACAGGCUGAUACCGCCCAAGAGUUCAUAUCGACGGCGGUGUUUGGCACCUCGAUGUCGGCUCAUCACAUCCUGGGGCUGAAGUAGGUCCCAAGGGUAUGGCUGUUCGCCAUUUAAAGUGGUACGCGAGCUGGGUUUAGAACGUCGUGAGACAGUUCGGUCCCUAUCUGCCGUGGGCGCUGGAGAACUGAGGGGGGCUGCUCCUAGUACGAGAGGACCGGAGUGGACGCAUCACUGGUGUUCGGGUUGUCAUGCCAAUGGCACUGCCCGGUAGCUAAAUGCGGAAGAGAUAAGUGCUGAAAGCAUCUAAGCACGAAACUUGCCCCGGGAUGAGUUCUCCCUGAGACUUAGAGUCUCCUGAAGGAACGUUGAAGACGACGACGUUGAUAGGCCGGGUGUGUAAGCGCAGCGAUGCGUUGAGCUAACCGGUACUAAUGAACCGUGAGGCUUAACCUU